AAUAAUAAUAAAAAUAAUAGUCCAAUUUUUAAUGUCCAUUUACAAGCAACGGGCUCAAUAGCCCAAAUCCACUACCCAAAAUAUAGUCCUAAGCCCGAUUAGCCUAAAUAGCUUUAACCCAAACCCAACUAACCUAAACCCAAAACCAAGCCCAAAUACUCGCAGCCCAAAACAAAAAAAAUCAACAGCAAACCCUAGAGACCAAAACCCUAAACUCAACCGCCGCUCCUACCUUCAGCACGCAUCGAGCCUCCGCGCCAUGUCACCGUACGGCUCCAUACACCAGCUGGCCACCGUACCUGCAAAGAAUACGAAAACAACACAGCAAAACAACAACAACAAUAGGCCAGCAGAUAUAAAAAACGGAAGAAAUAAUAGAAAAAAAGAGAGGAAAAAACCAUUUUUGUAAUAUUCGGCAAUAUAAAAGGCCGAUUGCUUCAUUCUUGUAAGGUUACGCACACAGACACGAAAUCAAUACAAAAGAUCAAAAGUUUCUUGAAGGUUUUUUUUCUGCUUUUUUCUUCUCUGUUCCAUCGAUGCAUGGUUAUUACUAUUGAUUUUUGUAAAUAGAGAGAAAAAGGGAAAUGAUUCACCUUAGCGUAGCGCCGAUUGAAACCUUGCUCGCUUCAUCGCAAUCGAAGCUCGGGCUAAAGCUGUGAGGCCAGAUAUUGGCGGAGCUUUCGGCGAUCUGCGAAAUAGGUUUCAAAACCCUAGCAGAGGAAAAUGGGGGGGUCUCUUCUGUUUUUUGGGAAAAUAGGGCUGAAGUGAGUUUUACUUUAUUUGUUUUGUUUAAAUAAACAUGCAAAACAACACCAUUUGGGGCCUUUCUCAGUGGCCUCAAAACGAUGUCGUAUUAGCCGAGAUCCGAUUAUCCGACCCGAUUCAGGGAAGAGGAUCCGCACCUUUUUGUUCGUGGUUUAUUUGCGCUUAGAGCCCUUUC
rnacentral:lncRNA from 1 species